rnacentral:rRNA from 1 species
UACGUAGGAGACGAGCGUUGUCCGGAAUUACUGGGCGUAAAGCGCGUGUAGGCGGAUGGGCAAGUCUGCUGUGAAAGCUCCUGGCUUAACCGGGAGUAGUCGGUGGGAACUGCCAAUCUGGAGGACGGUAGAGGUAGGUAGAAUUCCCGGUGUAGUGGUGAAAUGCGUAGAGAUCGGGAGGAAUACCUGUGGCGAAGGCGGCCUACUGGGCCGGACCUGACGCUGAGACGCGAAGGCGUGGGGAGCGAACGGG